ACCCUAAACAGGUUUCUCUCUGACUCCACCCACUGAUGCUGAACUCAGCCAAUGAGAUGGUCUCUUUCUGCAGAACUACAGCCUGAUGUUGAGGAGAAGGCUGUGCAGCAGAGAGGCUGCUUAGUCUUUUCAUUCUGCUGAACUUUGUUCAUCUGCUGUGUGACUUCAACACCUGAAACAUGUUCCUUUACCUGUUUGUACUUUUCUCUCACUGCAUAGCUUUGGGCUCCAUGAACAGCAUAAAGCAGGAACGUGCUGAAGAAGCUGUUGCAGAGGGAGGAAACAUCAACCUGACCUGUACAUAUGAUGGUUCUAUCUACAAUAUCCAGUGGUACCGACAAUACCAGAGAUCCAGACCAGAGUUCCUGCUCUCCAUCACAGAGGGAGGAUCAGUUCAUGAAGCUGUGUCGGGAUUCUCAGCUCACAUUGACAAAACAGAGAAACGUGCAGAUCUGGAGAUCUCCUCUGCUGCAGUGACAGACUCUGCUGUGUACUACUGUGCUCUGCAGCCCACAGUGACAGGAAACAGCAAAACUCUGUACAAAAACCUUUGGAGCAAAGACAACAGAAUACUCCACAACAUCCACUAGAGGGAGCCACACACUGUUAAACCUCUGAUUCUUGUGUGAAUCAGAGGUUGUAAACUUCUGUAGUUUGUUAGGAUGGAGUUAGGGGAGCUUUCAGUCAUCAGACAUUCAUGAAGAAAGAGUUUUAGAGGAAACAGUAAAGAAGCAUCAGAGUGUUCCUGUUUGAAGAAACUGGAGGUAUUUUUUAUAGGAUAUUGAAAGAAAUGAAAA